rnacentral:rRNA from 1 species
UUAAGCGACUAAGCGUACACGGUGGAUGCCCUGGCAGUCAGAGGCGAUGAAGGACGUGCUAAUCUGCGAUAAGCGUCGGUAAGGUGAUAUGAACCGUUAUAACCGGCGAUUUCCGAAUGGGGAAACCCAGUGUGUUUCGACACACUAUCAUUAACUGAAUCCAUAGGUUAAUGAGGCGAACCGGGGGAACUGAAACAUCUAAGUACCCCGAGGAAAAGAAAUCAACCGAGAUUCCCCCAGUAGCGGCGAGCGAACGGGGAGCAGCCCAGAGCCUGAAUCAGUGUGUGUGUUAGUGGAAGCGUCUGGAAAGGCGCGCGAUACAGGGUGACAGCCCCGUACACAAAAAUGCACAUGCUGUGAGCUCGAUGAGUAGGGCGGGACACGUGGUAUCCUGUCUGAAUAUGGGGGGACCAUCCUCCAAGGCUAAAUACUCCUGACUGACCGAUAGUGAACCAGUACCGUGAGGGAAAGGCGAAAAGAACCCCGGCGAGGGGAGUGAAAAAGAACCUGAAACCGUGUACGUACAAGCAGUGGGAGCACGCUUAGGCGUGUGACUGCGUACCUUUUGUAUAAUGGGUCAGCGACUUAUAUUCUGUAGCAAGGUUAACCGAAUAGGGGAGCCGAAGGGAAACCGAGUCUUAACUGGGCGUUAAGUUGCAGGGUAUAGACCCGAAACCCGGUGAUCUAGCCAUGGGCAGGUUGAAGGUUGGGUAACACUAACUGGAGGACCGAACCGACUAAUGUUGAAAAAUUAGCGGAUGACUUGUGGCUGGGGGUGAAAGGCCAAUCAAACCGGGAGAUAGCUGGUUCUCCCCGAAAGCUAUUUAGGUAGCGCCUCGUGAAUUCAUCUCCGGGGGUAGAGCACUGUUUCGGCAAGGGGGUCAUCCCGACUUACCAACCCGAUGCAAACUGCGAAUACCGGAGAAUGUUAUCACGGGAGACACACGGCGGGUGCUAACGUCCGUCGUGAAGAGGGAAACAACCCAGACCGCCAGCUAAGGUCCCAAAGUCAUGGUUAAGUGGGAAACGAUGUGGGAAGGCCCAGACAGCCAGGAUGUUGGCUUAGAAGCAGCCAUCAUUUAAAGAAAGCGUAAUAGCUCACUGGUCGAGUCGGCCUGCGCGGAAGAUGUAACGGGGCUAAACCAUGCACCGAAGCUGCGGCAGCGACACUAUGUGUUGUUGGGUAGGGGAGCGUUCUGUAAGCCUGCGAAGGUGUGCUGUGAGGCAUGCUGGAGGUAUCAGAAGUGCGAAUGCUGACAUAAGUAACGAUAAAGCGGGUGAAAAGCCCGCUCGCCGGAAGACCAAGGGUUCCUGUCCAACGUUAAUCGGGGCAGGGUGAGUCGACCCCUAAGGCGAGGCCGAAAGGCGUAGUCGAUGGGAAACAGGUUAAUAUUCCUGUACUUGGUGUUACUGCGAAGGGGGGACGGAGAAGGCUAUGUUGGCCGGGCGACGGUUGUCCCGGUUUAAGCGUGUAGGCUGGUUUUCCAGGCAAAUCCGGAAAAUCAAGGCUGAGGCGUGAUGACGAGGCACUACGGUGCUGAAGCAACAAAUGCCCUGCUUCCAGGAAAAGCCUCUAAGCAUCAGGUAACAUCAAAUCGUACCCCAAACCGACACAGGUGGUCAGGUAGAGAAUACCAAGGCGCUUGAGAGAACUCGGGUGAAGGAACUAGGCAAAAUGGUGCCGUAACUUCGGGAGAAGGCACGCUGAUAUGUAGGUGAGGUCCCUCGCGGAUGGAGCUGAAAUCAGUCGAAGAUACCAGCUGGCUGCAACUGUUUAUUAAAAACACAGCACUGUGCAAACACGAAAGUGGACGUAUACGGUGUGACGCCUGCCCGGUGCCGGAAGGUUAAUUGAUGGGGUUAGCGCAAGCGAAGCUCUUGAUCGAAGCCCCGGUAAACGGCGGCCGUAACUAUAACGGUCCUAAGGUAGCGAAAUUCCUUGUCGGGUAAGUUCCGACCUGCACGAAUGGCGUAAUGAUGGCCAGGCUGUCUCCACCCGAGACUCAGUGAAAUUGAACUCGCUGUGAAGAUGCAGUGUACCCGCGGCAAGACGGAAAGACCCCGUGAACCUUUACUAUAGCUUGACACUGAACAUUGAGCCUUGAUGUGUAGGAUAGGUGGGAGGCUUAGAAGUGUGGACGCCAGUCUGCAUGGAGCCGACCUUGAAAUACCACCCUUUAAUGUUUGAUGUUCUAACGUUGACCCGUAAUCCGGGUUGCGGACAGUGUCUGGUGGGUAGUUUGACUGGGGCGGUCUCCUCCUAAAGAGUAACGGAGGAGCACGAAGGUUGGCUAAUCCUGGUCGGACAUCAGGAGGUUAGUGCAAUGGCAUAAGCCAGCUUGACUGCGAGCGUGACGGCGCGAGCAGGUGCGAAAGCAGGUCAUAGUGAUCCGGUGGUUCUGAAUGGAAGGGCCAUCGCUCAACGGAUAAAAGGUACUCCGGGGAUAACAGGCUGAUACCGCCCAAGAGUUCAUAUCGACGGCGGUGUUUGGCACCUCGAUGUCGGCUCAUCACAUCCUGGGGCUGAAGUAGGUCCCAAGGGUAUGGCUGUUCGCCAUUUAAAGUGGUACGCGAGCUGGGUUUAGAACGUCGUGAGACAGUUCGGUCCCUAUCUGCCGUGGGCGCUGGAGAACUGAGGGGGGCUGCUCCUAGUACGAGAGGACCGGAGUGGACGCAUCACUGGUGUUCGGGUUGUCAUGCCAAUGGCACUGCCCGGUAGCUAAAUGCGGAAGAGAUAAGUGCUGAAAGCAUCUAAGCACGAAACUUGCCCCGAGAUGAGUUCUCCCUGACCCUUUAAGGGUCCUGAAGGAACGUUGAAGACGACGACGUUGAUAGGCCGGGUGUGUAAGCGCAGCGAUGCGUUGAGCUAACCGGUACUAAUGAACCGUGAGGCUUAACCUU